CUGCCCCCGUCCCAAGAAUUUCGUCGUAAUCCUGCAAGCAACCCCGGGCUUCUCGUGCGCUUCCGCCCAAUUUUCCGGCUAAUCGCCGUCAGACAGCGGCAAAGCAGGUCCAAGUUUCUUUCUGUCCGGCCGGAUAGCAGCUUGCUUGGGCUUGCACUCGCUUACUUGAGCACACGACGAACAGUGUUCUUCUUCGACUGCGACCGAGAGAAAAUUCCUCUUCUUUCCCGCCUAUGAAAUGCUCCCUUCUUGAUGCGGUUUGCGGCCGGGAGGAAGCUGUUGAGCCCAGCGAGGCGCACUCGAGUUCGUUCGGAAUUAAUCCCCUUCCGAUGUGAGGUCGCGCUGUGCGCCAAUCGGUCCUCUUCUUCCCCAGCCAUUCCGACACCAAGAAGCAGCAGCAUCCAUGGGCGCCGCUCGCACGGUGGCGCCGCUCGCUGUGCUCCUGCUGCAGCUUCUGCUUCACCUGAUGGGAGCAGGUGCUGCUGAGGCCGACGACGAGGCCGCGGCGCUGCUUGCGUUCAAGCGCGCGUCCGUGGCCAACGACCCGCACGGCGCGCUCGCGGGCUGGCGCGAGGCCAACUCCACCUCCGCCUCCGGCUCGCCGUGCGCGUGGGCCGGCGUCUCGUGCGCGGACGGCCGCGUCCGCGAGCUCAACCUCAGCGGCAUGUCCCUCGACGGCCGGCUCAGGCUGGACGCGCUGCUCGCGCUCCCGGCGCUCCAGAGCCUCGACCUCCGCCGCAACGCAUUCCACGGCAAUCUCGCCGCCCACCACACCGCGCAGCCGCCGCGGACACCGUCGCUGUGCGCGCUGUUGCAAGUGGACCUGUCGUCGAACGCCUUGAACGGAACGCUGCCCCGGGCGUUCUUGAAGUCCUGCGCCGGCAUGCAGUCCCUGAAUUUGUCCAGGAACAACCUUACCGGCGGGGGCUUCCCGUUCCCACCGUCGCUGAGCACCCUGGACAUGUCCAGGAACAUGCUUUCAGACGCCGGCUUGCUCAACUACUCCCUGACCGGCUGCCAUGGUAUUCAGUACCUCAAUCUCUCGUCCAACCAGUUCACAGGAGGCCUGCCGGAGUUUGCACAGUGCAGCCAAGUUUCUAUUCUUGAUUUGUCAGGGAACCUUAUGUCCGGCACCCUCCCUGGCAGGCUUUUGACCACGGCGUCAGCAAAUUUGACACACUUGAGCAUUGCAGGGAAUAACAUCUCUGGGGACAUCUCCAGGUAUGAUUUUGGUGGUUGCACAAACCUCACCGUGCUCGAUUGGUCAUACAAUAGGUUGAGUGGCAUGGGGUUGCCACUGACUCUUGAUAACUGCCACCGCUUGGAGACACUUGACAUGUCCGGGAACAAGCUUCUUUCUGGUACAAUACCAGUGUUCUUGGGAGGCUUCCAACAAUUGAAGAAACUCGCACUAGCUGGGAACAACUUCACUGGGGAAAUUCCAGAUGAGCUGAGCCUCUUGUGCGGAACGCUGGUUGAACUAGACUUAUCAAGCAACCAACUGACUGGCGGUUUGCCUGCAAGCUUCUCAAAAUGCAGAUCACUUAAGCUGCUUGACCUUGGCAACAACCAGCUUUCUGGGGACUUUGUGGUUACAGUCAUCAGCAAAAUCUCCUCCCUACGGGUGCUGCGGCUGCCAUUCAACAAUAUCACAGGGACAAAUCCACUGCCCACACUAGCAGCUGAGUGCCCUUUACUUGAAGUUAUUGAUCUUGGGUCUAAUUUGCUUGAUGGGGAGAUCAUGCCAAACUUGUGCUCAUCAUUGCCAUCACUACGAAAGCUCAUCCUCCCGAACAAUUACCUCAAUGGAACUGUGCCACCGUCACUCAGCAAUUGCAGCAAUCUAGAGUCAAUUGACCUCAGUUUCAACCUUUUACACGGUCAGAUUCCACCAGAAGUAUUAUUCCUUCCUAAGCUUAUUGAUCUGGUCAUGUGGGCAAACAAUCUUUCAGGCGAAAUACCAGACAAGCUAUGCUCCAAUAGCACUACUCUGGAGACAUUGGUGAUAAGUUACAACAGCUUCACUGGAGGCAUCCCUCCAUCCAUUACCAGAUGUGUGAAUCUCAUAUGGGUAUCACUUGCUGCUAACAAUCUGACUGGGAGUGUGCCCUCAGGCUUUGGCAACCUCCAGAAGCUUGCCAUUCUACAGCUGCACAAGAAUUCACUCUCUGGCCCAGUGCCAGCAGAAUUUGGCAGCUGCAGCAACCUCAUCUGGCUUGAUCUCAACAGCAAUAACUUCUCUGGUACAAUACCAACGCAGUUAGCAGCACAGGCAGGACUUAUCACCGGAGGUAUUGUUUCUGGGAAGCAAUUUGCAUUCCUCAGGAAUGAGGCUGGCAACAUCUGCCCUGGUGCUGGAGUGCUGUUCGAGUUCCUUGAUAUCCGUCCAGAGCGGCUGGCCCAGUUCCCAACGGUGCACUCAUGUGGCUCCACAAGGAUAUACACCGGAAUGACAGUAUACAUGUUCAAUAAAAAUGGAAGCAUGAUCUUCCUUGAUCUCUCGUACAACAGCCUUACAGGUACAAUUCCGGCAAGCUUGGGGAACAUGACAUAUCUUAAUGUCCUUAACUUGGGACAUAAUGAUCUUACCGGUGCAAUUCCAGAUGCAUUCACUGGGCUGAAGCUGAUUGGUGCACUAGACCUCUCACACAACCACCUAACCGGUGUCAUCCCCGCAGGAUUUGGGUCUUUAAAUUUCCUUGAUGACUUCGAUGUCUCUAACAACAACCUUACUGGAGAAAUCCCAACAUCUGGACAGAUCAUUACAUUUCCAGCAUCCCGCUUUGGAAACAACUCUGGCCUCUGUGGCAUUCCCUUGAAUCCUUGCACGCAUAAUGCCAGCACAGGAGAUAGUUCCCAACAUUCCCCAAACGGGCAGAGAAAAUUUCUCGAAGAAUUUGUGCUCCUUGCUGUGGCACUCUUAGUGCUCAUAAUGGCCACCCUAGUGGUCAUUCUAUACAAACUCAGGAGGCCCUGUGAAAGCAAAACUGAAGAGAUUCAAACUGGGUAUAGCGACAGCCUCCCAUCAUCCACCAGUAUAAGCUGGAAGAUUUCUGGUUCCCGCGAGCCACUAAGCAUCAAUUUGGCGGUAUUUGAGAAUCCACUGAGGAAGCUGACAUAUUCCCACCUACAUGAGGCCACCAAUGGCUUCAGUUCAGAGGCUUGUAUUGGCACAGGAGGAUUUGGUGAGGUUUACAAGGCUAAGCUCAAGGAUGGCAGUGUUGUGGCUGUCAAGAAGCUGAUGUAUUUUACAGGCCAGGGUGACCGGGAGUUCACUGCAGAGAUGGAAACAAUUGGCAAGAUCAAACAUCGCAACCUUGUGCCAUUGCUAGGCUACUGCAAAAUUGGUGAUGAGCGUCUCCUUGUGUAUGAGUAUAUGAAGAAUGGCAGCUUGGAUGUCAUGCUCCAUGAAAAGGCCAAAAUUGAUGUGAAUCUUGAUUGGAUUACAAGGAAAAAGAUUGCAGUCGGUUCGGCAAGAGGAUUAGCGUUCCUCCACCACAGUUGCGUCCCACACAUCAUACACCGGGACAUGAAAUCGAGCAACGUGCUGCUUGAUGAUAACCUUGAUGCCUAUGUAUCGGAUUUUGGGAUGGCACGGCUUGUCAAUGCACUUGACUCGCAUCUGACUGUGAGCAAGCUCUUAGGAACACCUGGAUAUGUGGCACCUGAAUACUUCCAGUCUAUUAUCUGCACAACCAAGGGUGACGUCUACAGCUAUGGUGUUGUGCUUUUGGAGCUUCUCUCAGGGAAGAAACCAAUCGAUCCAACAGAAUUUGGUGACAGUAACCUUGUUGACUGGGCAAAACAGAUGGUUAAGGAGGACCGAUGCAACGAGAUAUUUGAUCCUAUAUUGACUGAUACAAAAUCCUGUGAAUUGGAAUUGUAUCAGUAUCUGAAGAUUGCUUGCCAGUGCUUGGAUGAUCAUCCUAACCGCAGACCUACCAUGAUUCAGGUUAUGGCAAUGUUCAAAGAGUUACAGAUUGACUCAGACAACAACUUCUUGGAUGGCUUCUCAAUCGAUUCAGCAAAUAUAGAGGAAUCAUCUGAGAAAUCAGUGUAAAUAUUAUUGAUUCAACGAGAUUUUGAUUCACUAGAUUGAUAUAUUAGCUUUGUCACUUUAACUCACGUUAACAGAAAAGAAAGUAGCUACUGUGGAAGGGAAAAAAUUGUAAUUUUGUUUUCGGUCACAUAAUACACAACAGCUUGAACAGAGACACGAUUAUAGAGUUCUUUCACAAGGACACCAGUUUGGUAGAAGAGAUGGUAUACAAAUCUUGGAGCUCAGUUCCUUUCCUUGUACAUCCCUCUUCCUUGCUGAGAAAGUAAAACAGUACAAUUUUUUCCAGUUAUAUGUGUUAUUCAUGAUUACCUUUCAGUAAAUUUUCUGAACAUAUUUGGUUUGUGUCAUUCUGAAUAAUUGUUACCUUGACAAAAACUGAGCAGCUGAAAGAUUCUUGGAGUUAUCGUGUCAUUAGUCUAGGGUUUACUCUUUUAACCAUAGGUAUUCUUUGUGGAGCAGUAUGGGCUAAUGAAGCAUGGGGAUCCUAUUGGAAUGGGGAUCCUAAGGAAACUUGGGCAUUUAUUACCUGGACCAUAUUUGUAAUAUAUUUACAUAGUAGAACAAAUCCAAAUUGGAAAGGUACAAAUUCCGCACUUGUAGCUUCCGAUAGGAUUUCUUAUAAUUUGGAUCUGCUAUUUUGGUAUCAAUCUGUUAGGAAUAGGUUUUCAUAGUUAUGGUUCAUUUACAUUACCAUCUAACUUGUUCCGUUUGAUUAUGAGCACGUCAUAAUACGUCAUUUGUGCACGUCAUUUGCCUGAUGUACUAACUUGUUGUAGAACCUUCCUCAUAAAACGUCUUGUAGCACUAGUUCCUGGGAUCAGAUUGUUGAUUAUGAGCGGAAGCUGCUGGCAAAGUGAGCAACAGAAGAAACAGGAUGCAGUUAUGUAUUUUGGUAACAAUUGAUCCAUUCUCCUUGUCUAUUUCUCUGUAGUGCAGGACUUGAAUUUGUUCCGUUUGAUCAUUGGAACAAGCAUACAGUUACAUUUCAGAAUUUGCCGCUUAGAGCAUCCUCAAAGGCUAGAGACGUGUGACAAAUAAAUUCUAUUUGCUGAAGAUCUUAUGAUGCUCGUUCAUACCUGGCUCUCCCCUAUUUUCAUCAAAGGGUGAUCAAAUGUCACUUUCAGAGCAGCACGCAUGUUUCAGGUAAACGGAUUUGGUGUUAGGUCAGCUAAGAUACGUUCCUUGACAUGCCGUUCUUCGCACGCGCGUGCAGAUGUGUGACAUCCAUCAGGAUUGGAUUGGGUCGGAUCUCGUCCUAAACAAGUGACGAGUUGGUUGAUGGCACGAGUUGUUGGUCAAGCACGGCAUCUGAUCCUACGCUCCUGCACGGCUACGUGGCACCAGUUAG